rnacentral:misc_RNA from 1 species
UCUCCGUAGGUGAACCUGCGGAGGGAUCAUUACUGAGUGAGGGCCUCUGGCCCGACCUCCAACCCCUUGAUGUCCGACUCUGUUGCCUCGGGGGCGACCCGGCCUUCGGGCCCGGGGCCCCCCGUGGUCCACUCAACUCUGCAUCUUUGCGUCUGAGUAAACAUUAAAUGAAACAAAACUUUCAACAACGGAUCUCUUGGUUCUG